GACGAACGCUGGCGGCGUGCUUAACACAUGCAAGUCGAACGGUGAAGCUCCAGCUUUGUGGAGUGGAUCAGUGGCGAACGGGUGAGUAACACGUGAGCAACCUGCCCCUGACUCUGGGAUAAGCGCUGGAAACGGCGUCUAAUACUGGAUACGAGACGUGUCCGCAUGGGGACUUUUUGGAAAGUUUUUCGGUUGGGGAUGGGCUCGCGGCCUAUCAGCUUGUUGGUGGGGUAAUGGCUCACCAAGGCGACGACGGGUAGCCGGCCUGAGAGGGCGACCGGCCACACUGGGACUGAGACACGGCCCAGACUCCUACGGGAGGCAGCAGUGGGGAAUAUUGCACAAUGGGCGGAAGCCUGAUGCAGCGACGCCGCGUGAGGGAUGACGGCCUUCGGGUUGUAAACCUCUUUCAGCAGGGAAGAAGCGAAAGUGACGGUACCUGCAGAAGAAGCACCGGCUAACUACGUG
rnacentral:rRNA from 1 species